rnacentral:rRNA from 1 species
GACGAACGCUGGCGGCGUGCUUAACACAUGCAAGUCGAACGAAGUGGCGAACGGGUGAGUAACGCGUAAUCAACCUGCCCUUCAGAGGGGGACAACAGUUGGAAACGACUGCUCAUACCGCAUACUGAAGUAGGGGAUUGCGUCUGAUUAGCUAGUUGGAGGGGUAACGGCCCACCAAGGCGAUGAUCAGGAGCCGGGCUGAGAGGGUGGACGGCCAAAGUGGGACUGAGAAACGGGCCAGACUCCUAAGGGAGGGAGCAGUGGGGAAACUUCCGCAAUGGAGGAAAGUCUGGCGGAGCAACGCCGGGGGAGUGAUGGCGGCCUUCGGGUUGGAAAGCUCUGUUAAGCGGGAAGCGGUACCGGAAUAGAAAGCCACGGCUAACUACGUGCCAGCAGCCGCGGUAAUAC